GGGAGGAGGCAAGCGUUGUUCGGAAUUAUUGGGCUUAAAGAGCGUGUAGGCGGGGCCGGUCAGUGUCGAGUGAAAGCCCUCGGCUCAACCGAGGAAUGGCUCGGCAUACUGCCGGUCUUGAGGCAGGUAGGGGCGGGUGGAACUCUAGGUGGAGCGGUGAAAUGCGUAGAUAUCUAGAGGAACGCCGGUGGCGAAAGCGACCCGCUGGGCCUGUUCUGACGCUGAGACGCGAAAGCGUAGGGAGCAAACGGGAUUAGAUACCCCGGUAGUCUACGCCGUAAACGAUGCGCACUAGGUUCGAGGGCUUCUGACGGUGCUCGGGCCGAAGCAAAAGUGUUAAGUGCGCCGCCUGGGGAGUACGGCCGCAAGGCUA
rnacentral:rRNA from 1 species